CCUACGGGUGGCAGCAGUGAGGAAUAUUGGUCAAUGGACGAGAGUCUGAACCAGCCAAGUAGCGUGAAGGAUGACGGCCCUAUGGGUUGUAAACUUCUUUUAUAUGGGAAUAAAAUGCGUCACGUGUGGGAUUUUGUAUGUACCAUAUGAAUAAGGACCGGCUAAUUCCGUGCCAGCAGCCGCGGUAAUACGGAGGGUCCGAGCGUUAUCCGGAUUUAUUGGGUUUAAAGGGAGCGUAGGUGGCUUGUUAAGUCGGUUGUGAAAGUUUGCGGCUCAACCGUGAAAUUGCAGUGGAAACUGGCAGUCUUGAGUGCAGUAGAGGUGGGCGGAAUUCGUGGUGUAGCGGUGAAAUGCUUAGAUAUCACGAAGAACUCCGAUUGCGAAGGCAGCUCACUGGACUGCAACUGACGCUGAGGCUCGAAAGUGUGGGUAUCAAACAGGAUUAGAUACCCUAGUAGUC
rnacentral:rRNA from 1 species